rnacentral:lncRNA from 1 species
CAGAUAUAAUUAGUUAAGAUGAGGUCAUAGUGGAACAGAGUGGGCCUUUAUAACAAUAAGACUCGUUUACUUUUUUUUAAAGAUUUUAUUUAUUUUAAGGUGGAGGGGGGAGAAGCAGGAGGAGAGAGACAAGCAGACUGUGUGCUGAGCACAGAACGUGACAGGGCUCUCUACCUCACGACCCUGAGAUCAUGACCUGAACCGAAAUCAAGAGUGGAUGCUCAACUGGCUGAGCCCCCCGGGGGCCCCAAGACUGAUAUGCUUCUUAAGAGAAGGAAAGUUAGAAACAGACACACAGAGCUCCACGUGACAGCAAAGACAGAGACUGGAACGAUGUUGCUGCCCCCUAAAGAGCACCGAGGAUUGACGUCCACCACCAGAAGCUAGGGGGGGACGAGGAAAGAUUCUACUCAGUGUCAGAGGAAGGAUCUGAGACCCAGAGUCUCCGUCCUCUGCUGACACUCUGAUUUUGAACUCCUGGGCUCCAGAGCUUUGAGAGAAUACAUUUCUGUUGUUGAAAGCCACUCAGUUUGCGGCACUUUGGCCCAACAGCCCUAGAAAACUAAUGCAGGUUUUCAUACUACGUCCUAGAAAUCUCUUCUACUGACACGAGGCAGAUAGUGCCACAUACAUUUUUCCUAAAAGGUUUAAAGUUUGGCCUUUCAUAGUUUGAUGGGAUCAUUCAACUCUGACUUAUGCGUGACGUGAGAUGGGGAUGAUUUUAAUGUUUCUAUCAUAGACCAAGCUUUCACGGGUCUCUUUCUGUGCUCUCUUUUCUCUUCCCCCCCAUUGAUCUAGUUGUCCACCUUUAGACCCAUACCAUUUCGGUUUCUUACAUUGUGUUAAAACACACACAAAAUUUACCAUUUCAACCAUGUUUGAGUGUACGAUUCAGUGGCAUUAAGUACAUUCACGUUAUUGCCCAACUAUCAACACUAUACCUCUCCAGAAUGUUUUCAUCAUCUCAAGCUGAAACUUUGUACCUAAUAAAUAUUGUCCCUUCCCU